GAGUUUGAUCUUGGCUCAGGACAAACGCUGGCGGUAUGCUUAACACAUGCAAGUCGAACGAGAAGGUUUUGAAUGAUCCUUCGGGUGAAAUUAGAACUGGAAAGUGGCGAACGGGUGAGUAACGCGUGGGUAACCUGCCCUAUGGAAAGGAAUAGCCUCGGGAAACUGGGAGUAAAGCCUUAUAUUAUGGUUUUGUCGCAUGGCAAGAUCAUGAAAACUCCGGUGCCAUAGGAUGGACCCGCGUCCCAUUAGCUAGUUGGUGAGAUAACAGCCCACCAAGGCGACGAUGGGUAACCGGUCUGAGAGGGCGAACGGUCACACUGGAACUGAGACACGGUCCAGACUCCUACGGGAGGCAGCAGUGGGGAAUAUUGCGCAAUGGGGGCAACCCUGACGCAGCAAUACCGCGUGAGUGAAGAAGG
rnacentral:rRNA from 1 species